rnacentral:misc_RNA from 1 species
GAUGAAGAACGUAGCGAAAUGCGAUAAGUAAUGUGAAUUGCAGAAUUCAGUGAAUCAUCGAGUCUUUGAACGCACAUUGCGCCCCCUGGUAUUCCGGGGGGCAUGCCUGUCCGAGCGUCAUUGCUGCCCUCAAGCACGGCUUGUGUGUUGGGCUCCGUCCCCCCGGGGACGGGCCCGAAAGGCAGCGGCGGCACCGAGUCCGGUCCUCGAGCGUAUGGGGCUUUGUCACCCGCUCUGUAGGCCCGGCCGGCGCCAGCCGACAACCCAUCAUCCUUUUCAGGUUGACCUCGGAUCAGGUAGGGAUACCCGCUGAACUUAAGCAUAUCAAUAAGCGGAGGA